GACGAACGCUGGCGGUAUGCUUAACACAUGCAAGUCGAACGGACUCUUCGGAGUUAGUGGCGGACGGGUGGGUAACGCGUGAGAAUCUGGCUUUGGGUUCGGGACAACCACUGGAAACGGUGGCUAAUACCGGAUGUGCCGAGAGGUAAAAGAGAAAUUGGCUGAAGAUGAGCUCGCGUCUGGUUAGCUAGGUUGUGAGGUAAAGGCGCACCAAGGCAGCGAUCAGUAGCUGGUCUGAGAGGAUGACCAGCCACAGUGGGACUGAGACACGGCCCAGACUCCUGCGAGAGGCAGCAGUGGGGAAUUUUCCGCAAGGGGCGAAAGCCUGACGGAGAAAUACCGCGUGGGGGAAGAAGGCUCUUGGGUUGUAAAGCUCUUUUCUUAGGGAAAAAGAGAGUGACGGUACCGGAGGAAGCAGCACCGGCUAACUCCGUG
rnacentral:rRNA from 1 species